AGUGGAUGGGGAGCAACCUAGUUGUGCGUGUGUAAAGGUAGUGCCAAGAAAAGCGAUGAUCAUGUUGAAAAUCAAUUCCCGGUACCCGAAACCGACACAGGUGGGCAAGUAGAGAAUACUAAGGGGCGCGAGGUAACUCUCUCCAAGGAACUCGGCAAAAUGACCCCGUAACUUAGGGAGAAGGGGUGCCACCGAGAGGUGGUCGCAGUGAAGAGGCCCAGGCGACUGUUUAGCAAAAACAUAGGUCUCUGCAAACUCGAAAGAGGAGGUAUAGGGGCUGACGCCUGCCCAGUGCCGGAAGGUUAAAGAAGUUGGUCAGUCUUAGGAUGAAGCUAGCGACUGAAGCCCCGGUGAGCGGCGGCCGUAACUAUAACGGUCCUAAGGUAGCGAAAUUCCUUGUCGGGUAAGUUCCGACCCGCACGAAAGGCGUAACGAUCUGGGCGCUGUCUCGGAGAGAGGCUCGGCGAAAUAGGAUUGACUGUGAAGAUACGGACUACCUGCAUUUGGACAGAAAGACCCUAUGAAGCUUUACUAUAGCUUGGAAUUGUGUUCGGGCUUCCUGUGCGCAGGAUAGGUGGGAGGCGUAGAAGGUAUUCUUGUGGGGAUACUGGAGCCAACGGUGAGAUACCACUCUCAGGAGGCUAGAAUUCUAACUUAAUUAAGGACAGUUUCAGGUGGGUAGUUUGACUGGGGCGGUCGCCUCCAAAAAGGUAACGGAGGCGUACAAAGGUUCCCUCAGACUGGUUGGAAAUCAGUCGAAGAGUGCAAAGGCAGAAGGGAGCUUGACUGCGAGAAGUACAGUUCGAGCAGGGUGGAAACACGGUCUUAGUGAUCCGACGGUGCUGUGUGGAAGGGCCGUCGCUCAACGGAUAAAAGUUACUCUAGGAUAACAGGCUAAUCUCCCCCAAGAGUUCACAUCGACGGGGAGGUUUGGCACCUCGAUGUCGGCUCAUCGCAACCUGGGGCGGAAGUACGUCCCAAGGGUUGGGCUGUUCGCCCAUUAAAGCGGUACGUGAGCUGGGUUCAGAACGUCGUGAGACAGUUCGGUCCAUAUCCGAUGUAGGCGUGAGAAUAUUGAGAGGAGCCUUCCUUAGUACGAGAGGACCGGGAAGGACGCACCGCUGGUGUACCUGUUAUGAUGCCAAUUGUAAACGCAGGGUAGCCAAGUGCGGAGAGGAUAACCGCUGAAAGCAUCUAAGUGGGAAGCCCACCUCAAGAUGAGUAUUCUGGUGUAAGGUCACGGGAAGACGACCCGUAAAUAGGCACGAGGUGGAAGUGCAGAGAUGUAUGAAGCCGAAGUGUACUAAUAGACCGUCGGCUUG
rnacentral:rRNA from 1 species